UGGGGAAUAUUGGGCAAUGGGGGAAACCCUGACCCAGCGACGCCGCGUGGGUGAUGAAGGCCUUCGGGUCGUAAAGCCUUGUCAAGAGGAAAGAAUGUCCUUAAGGCUAAUACCCUUAAGGAGUGACGGUACCUCUGAAGGAAGCACCGGCCAACUCCGUGCCAGCAGCCGCGGUAAGACGGAGGGUGCAAGCGUUGCUCGGAAUCAUUGGGCGUAAAGGGUGCGUAGGCGGCUUCUUAAGUCUGGCGUGAAAGCCCAGGGCUCAGCCUUGGAAGUGCGCUAGAAACUGGGGAGCUUGAGUGCCGGAGGGGAGAGUGGAAUUCCUGGUGUAGCGGUGAAAUGCGUAGAUAUCAGGAGGAAUACCGGUGGCGAAAGCGACUCUCUGGACGGUAACUGACGCUGAGGCACGAAAGCGUGGGUAGCAAACAG
rnacentral:rRNA from 1 species